AUGGGGAUAACGAGUCGACGAUUGAAGCCCCCAACGUUCUGCCAGACACUGGACAGGGAUAUCUGGAUAGAUGGAUGGAUCUAUCUUUCUUUUCAGAUAUCUUUUGCAAUCAGCCCCAAAUCCUUGAAUUGGCCAGGAAACAAAGCACUGCUUUGGGCCCAGGAAGCGAAGGGAAUGAGCUCGGCUGCUUCUCCCCCACACUUCUUUAUUUCUCUGUGCCCCUUCUGCAUGCGCUUUGCGCGCCAUUGGCGCUUUGCUCUCCUCUUAUUUCUUCAUUGGAGGGUCCGGAUGGACUUCGCCAUUCUUUCCCAACGAAAAUGGAAAGGGCUGUAUCACAUCGAGAUGUCGAUUCGUUUUCCGCCCCAAAUGAGAUGGAUUAGUCACCUCUGUCCCUUCAUCUUUAUGAAAGGAAUCGAGGCUCGGCCCAGCUCGCGUCGUUCCAACAACCGACGGGGAGCACCUUAGUAUAUGAUCGCGCGCAGUAACUGGGAGUCCUAUUACACCUAA
rnacentral:rRNA from 1 species